GUUUGAUCCUGGCUCAGAUUGAACGCUGGCGGGAUGCUACAUGCAAGUUGAACGGCAGCGCGGACUGAUCUGGUGGCGAGUGGCGAACGGUGGAGAGUAAUGUAUCGGAACGUGAUGCCUGAAGUGGCCGGGGAUAUUACGCGAAAGCGUAGCUAAUACCACCGCAUACGCCCUUCGAGGAAAGCGGGGACGCUUCGGGCCUCGCACUAUUAAGCAGCCGAUAUCGGAUUAGCUAGUUGGUGGGGUAACGGCUCACCAAGGCGACGAUCCGUAGCUGGUUUAAGAGAGAGGACGACCAGCCACAUGGGACGAAGACCUGGCCCAGACUCGGGGCGGCGGUGGGGAAUUUUGGACAAUGGAAACCUGAUCCAGCCAUCCCGCGUGUCCGCGAUGAAGGCCUUCAGGUUGUAAAGCACUUUUGGCAGGAAAAAGAAACGGCACGGGAUAAUACCCCGUGCAACUGACGGUACCUGCAGAAUAAGCACCGGCUAACUACGUGCCAGCAGCCGCGGUAAUACGUAGGGUGCAAGCGUUAAUCGGAAUUACUGGGCGUAAAGCGUGCGCGGGCGGUUCGGAAGAAAGAUGUGAAAUCAGAGCUUAACUUUGGAACUGCAGUAACUACCGAGCUAGAGUGUGUCAGAGGGAGGUGGAGAUUCCGCGUGUAUAGUCGUACGUGAAUGUGCGGAGGAACACCGAUGGCGAAGGCAGCCUCACCGGGAUUUAACACUGACGCUCAUGCACGAAAGCGUGGGGAGCAAACAGGAUUAGAUACCCUGGUAGUCCACGCCCUAAACGAUGUCAACUAGCUGUUGGGAGCCUUCAGGCCUUGGUAGCGCAACUAACGCGUGAAGUUGACCGCCUGAAGAUACGGUCGCAAGAUUAAAACUCAAAGGAAUUGACGGGGACCCGCACAAGCGGUGGAUGAUGUGGAUUAAUUCGAUGCAACACUUGAAAAGAAAACCUUACCUACCCUUGACAUAUCUGGAAUCCCGAAGAGAUUGGGAGUGCUCGCAAGAGAACCGGAACACAGGUGCUGCAUGGCUGUCGUCAGCUCGUGUCGUGAGAUGUUGGGUUAAGUCCCGCAACAGAGGCGCAACCCUUGUCAUUAGUUGCUACGAAAAGGGCGCUCUAAUGAGACUGCCGGUAAACCGGAGGAAGGUGAGAUGACCUCAAGUCCUCAUGGCCCAUAUGGUCAGGGCUUCACCGUCGCCACAAUGGUCGGGACAGAGGGUCGCCAACCCGCGAGGGGAGCCAAUCCCAGAAACCCGAUCACAGUCCGGAUCCAGUCUGCAACUCGACUGCGCGUGAAGUCCGGAAUCGCUGGCGCGGAUCAGCAUGUCGCGGUGAAUACGUUCCCGGGUCUUGUACACACCGCCCGGCUACGGAGAAUUGCGUUUUACAGAAGUAGUUAGCCUAACCUGGGAGGGCGAUUACCCACAGUAGGAUUCAUGACUGGAGAAUUGUGAUCGUAACAAAGUAG
rnacentral:rRNA from 1 species